ACAUUCUUAGAAUAUCCGUCCUAGUGUCGUAAGACAGGGUUAAACAACAAGCAUCUGUGAUAGAUGCACUUGAUAAAGCUAGACCUAAGCAAGUUUGAGUUGCAAG
ncrna:unclassified sequences EGFOA RNA